AACCUUACCUAAACUUGACAUCCGUCUGAAAGGACCUUAAUCGGUUCCCUCCUUCGGGACAGAAGUGACAGGUGGUGCAUGGUUGUCGUCAGCUCGUGUCGUGAGAUGUGGGGUGAAGUCCCGUAACGAGCGCAACCCUUGUCUUUAGGUGCCAGCAAGGAAUGUUGGGCACUCUAGAGAGACUGCCGUGGAUAACACGGAGGAAGGUGGGGAUGACGUCAACUCAUCAUGCCCCCUAUGGUGAGGGCUACGCACGUGCUACAAUGGCCGAUACAAAGGGCAGCAAGAGGGCGACCUGAAGCGAAUCCCAUAAAGUCGGUCCCAGUUCGGAUUGGAGGCUGAAACUCGCCUCCAUGAAGCUGGAGUGACUAGUAAUCCUUGAUCAGAAUGCCACGGUGAAUGCGUUCCC
rnacentral:rRNA from 1 species